GGGGAAUUUUCCGCAAUGGGCGAAAGCCUGACGGAGCAAUACCGCGUGAGGGAGGAAGGCUCUUGGGUUGUAAACCUCUUUUGUCAGGGAAGAAGAUCUGACGGUACCUGACGAAUCAGCAUCGGCUAACUCCGUGCCAGCAGCCGCGGUAAUACGGGGGAUGCAAGCGUUAUCCGGAAUUAUUGGGCGUAAAGCGUCUGUAGGUGGUUGUUCAAGUCUGUUGUCAAAGCAUGGAGCUUAACUCCAUAUAGGCAAUGGAAACUGAGCUACUAGAGUACGGUAGGGGUCGCGGGAAUUCCCAGUGUAGCGGUGAAAUGCGUAGAUAUUGGGAAGAACACCAGUGGCGGAAGCGCGCGGCUGGACCUGUACUGACACUGAGGGACGAAAGCUAGGGGAGCGAAAGGGAUUAGAUACCCCUGU
rnacentral:rRNA from 1 species